rnacentral:rRNA from 1 species
UACGUAGGGUGCAAGCGUUAAUCGGAAUUACUGGGCGUAAAGCGUGCGCAGGCGGUGAUGUAAGACCGAUGUGAAAUCCCCGGGCUUAACCUGGGAACUGCAUUGGUGACUGCAUUGCUAGAGUAUGGCAGAGGGGGGUGGAAUUCCACGUGUAGCAGUGAAAUGCGUAGAUAUGCGGAGGAACACCGAUGGCGAAGGCAAUCCCCCUGGGGCCUGCACUGACGCUCAUGCACGAAAGCGUGGGGAGCAAACAGG